UGGGGAAUCUUCCGCAAUGGACGAAAGUCUGACGGAGCAACGCCGCGUGAGUGAAGAAGGUUUUCGGAUCGUAAAACUCUGUCUUUUGGGGCGAACGUGAGUAUGGUGAACAAUCAUAGUCAGUGACGGUACCAAAGGAGGAAGCCACGGCUAACUGCGUGCCAGCAGCCGCGGUAAUACGUAGGUGGCAAGCGUUGUCCGGAAUUAUUGGGCGUAAAGAGCGCGUAGGCGGGAUAGUCAGUCUGUUGUAAAAGUGCGGGGCUCAACCCCGUGAUGGCAAUGGAAACAGCUAUUCUUGAGUGCAGGAGAGGAAAGUGGAAUUCCCAGUGUAGCGGUGAAAUGCGUAGAUAUUGGGAGGAACACCAGUGGCGAAGGCGACUUUCUGGACUGUGUCUGACGCUGAGGCGCGAAAGCCAGGGGAGCGAACGGGAUUAGAUACCCCGGUAGUCCUGGCCGUAAACGAUGGGUACUAGGUGUGGGGGGUAUCGACCCCUUCCGUGCCGGAGUUAACGCAAUAAGUACCCCGCCUGGGGAGUACGGUGCGCAAGACUGAAACUCAAAUGAAUU
rnacentral:rRNA from 1 species